GUGAGGAAUAUUGGUCAAUGGACGGAAGUCUGAACCAGCCAUGCCGCGUGGAGGAUGAAGGUCCUCUGGAUUGUAAACUUCUUUUAUAGGGGGCGAAAAAAGGGAAUUCUUUCUCGUCUGACGGUACCCUAUGAAUAAGCACCGGCUAACUCCGUGCCAGCAGCCGCGGUAAUACGGAGGGUGCAAGCGUUAUCCGGAUUCACUGGGUUUAAAGGGAGCGUAGGCGGGCAUGUAAGUCAGUGAUGAAAGCCCUCAGCUUAACUGAGGAACUGCCAUUGAUACUAUAUGUCUUGAAUGUCGUUGAGGUUUGCGGAAUAGGUCAUGUAGCGGUGAAAUGCUUAGAUAUGACCUAGAACACCUAUUGCGAAGGCAGCAGGCUAAACGAAUAUUGACGCUGAGGCUCGAAAGCGUGGGGAUCAAACAGGAUUAGAAACCCUGGUAGUCC
rnacentral:rRNA from 1 species